UAGGCGUUAGUCUAAAUAAGAUAGUUGAUUUCGACUCAACAGACCUGGGACAUACACCUGGACGCCUAC
rnacentral:tRNA from 1 species